UGUGUGGGGAUCUCUUGCCGCUAAUAAAAGCCUAUCGUUCGCCUCCCAUUUCCGAGAGUUAUUGAUGGUGCAUCAUCCCCGAAGGUACCCAACAUGCCAUACCAUGAUGGAACAGUGGAGCAGACUCAACGGGCCAAAUGGCCGAAUUCUGUUCCUAUGGUCUCUUGUUCUUGAGGAAACUCCCAAAGCUAUGACUCACUUCUUCCAUUAUUGUUCUACCACUUUCAAACUGAUGUUGCUGGAAAUCUGAAAUAAAAACACAACGUGCUGGAUCUACUCAGUAGGUCAGGCAGCAUGUGCGGCAGAAGUGACCAAGUUGGCUCUUCUUAAAGACCUUCCAUCAGAUUUUACUGAGAUCAAAGGGAGACAUAAGGGACAGCAGAUGCUGGAAUCUGGAGCUAAAAACAAACUGCUGGAGGAACUCAGCGCGUCAAGCAGCACCUGUGGAGGACAGGGAUACGGUUUAGGAUAAAAGGGAUAAUUAGAUGUAUUUUCUUGUAGUGAAAGAUGAUCAUGAAAGCAAUCUGAUGACCUAAAACAUUAAAUGUGCUUCUUAUUCCA